rnacentral:SRP_RNA from 1 species
GCCGAGCUGGGUUACGCUAGCUUGUAACCCGAGUGGGGGCAUUGAGGUGAUUGAACAAUGACUCGGCCCAUCAGGCAGGAUCUAUAGGUGCGACUUUCUGGCCCGCCCGUUCCAAGUGGAGAGUUGAAUCAUGUGGUCCGAGCGAGGCUUGGGCCUCGUGGGUCCUAGAGUGGAGGGUACCACGUGAGGCUGGUUUCACAGAGCACAGCGAAAACCUCCCGCUUUCUACAGUGGAAGGAUAACGGGCCGGUGCAUCGUAGACCCAAAUUGCCUGGUGGGCUGAGAUCAAUCGGACAAUCACCUUU